rnacentral:rRNA from 1 species
AUACGUAGGGUGCGAGCGUUGUCCGGAAUUACUGGGCGUAAAGAGCUCGUAGGUGGUUUGUCGCGUCGUCUGUGAAAUUCCGGGGCUUAACUCCGGGCGUGCAGGCGAUACGGGCAUAGCUUGAGUACUGUAGGGGAGACUGGAAUUCCUGGUGUAGCGGUGAAAUGCGCAGAUAUCAGGAGGAACACCGGUGGCGAAGGGUGGUCGCUGGGCAGUAACGGACGCGGAGGAGCGAAAGCAUGGGUAGCGAACAGGAUUAGAUACCCUGGUAGUCCAUGCCGUAAACGGUGGGCGCUAGGUGUAGGGGUCUUCCACGACUUCGGUGCCGUAGCUAACGCAUUAAGCGCCCCGCCUGGGGAGUACGGCCGCAAGGCUAAAACUCAAAUGAAUUGACGGGG